rnacentral:rRNA from 1 species
UACGGGGGGGGCAAGCGUUGUUCGGAAUUACUGGGCGGAAAGGGCGCGUAGGCGGUCUGUCGCGUCUGCUGUGAAAACUCGGGGCUUAACCCCGGGCCUGCAGUGGGUACGGGCAGACUAGAGUGCGGUAGGGGAGACUGGAAUUCCUGGUGUAGCGGUGAAAUGCGCAGAUAUCAGGAGGAACACCGGUGGCGAAGGCGGGUCUCUGGGCCGUAACUGACGCUGAGGAGCGAAAGCAUGGGGAGCGAACAGG